UUUUGUGUUUUUCCACAGCUUUCUUGAACUGCAUCUACAAUUUCAAUUCAUUAUUGAAAAAGAAAAAAUUGAUUCAUAUUGUUGUUGCGGUUCAAUAAAGCUGUGGGAAGAUACAGAUA
rnacentral:pre_miRNA from 1 species